CGACAACAGGGGUACUUGCUCCCUGGGUGGCGAGUGGCGGACGGGUGAGGAAUGCAUCGGAAUCUGCCUAUACGUGGGGGAUAACCUCGGGAAACCGGGACUAAUACCGCAUACGACCUACGGGUGAAAGCAGGGGACCUUCGGGCCUUGCGCGGAUAGAUGAGCCGAUGUCGGAUUAGCUAGUUGGCGGGGUAAAGGCCCACCAAGGCGACGAUCCGUAGCUGGUCUGAGAGGAUGAUCAGCCACACUGGAACUGAGACACGGUCCAGACUCCUACGGGAGGCAGCAGUGGGGAAUAUUGGACAAUGGGCGCAAGCCUGAUCCAGCCAUGCCGCGUGGGUGAAGAAGGCCUUCGGGUUGUAAAGCCCUUUUGUUGGGAAAGAAAAGCAGUCGAUUAAUACCCGAUUGUUCUGACGGUACCCAAAGAAUAAGCACCGGCUAACUUCGUGCCACCAGCCGCGGUAAUACAAAAGGUGCACGCGUUACUCGGAAUUACUGGGCGUAAAACCG
rnacentral:rRNA from 1 species